rnacentral:rRNA from 1 species
CCUACGGGUGGCAGCAGUGGGGAAUAUUGCACAAUGGGGGAACCCCUGAUGCAGCGACGCCGCGUGAGUGAAGAAGUAUUUCGGUAUGUAAAGCUCUAUCAGCAGGGAAGAAAUAGCGACCUUUGGGUCGCCAGACGGUACCUGACUAAGAAGCCCCGGCUAACUACGUGCCAGCAGCCGCGGUAAUACGUAGGGGGCAAGCGUUAUCCGGAGUUAUUGGGUUUAAAGGGUGCGUAGGCGGAUUUUUAAGUCAGCGGUAAACUGUCCGGGCUCAACCCGGGCCGGCCGUUGAAACUGGGGAUCUUGAGUGGGCGAGAAGUAUGCGGAAUGCGUGGUGUAGCGGUGAAAUGCAUAGAUAUCACGCAGAACUCCGAUUGCGAAGGCAGCAUACCGGCGCCCGACUGACGCUGAGGCACGAAAGCGUGGGGAUCGAACAGGAUUAGAUACCCCUGUAGUC